rnacentral:rRNA from 1 species
CUAAAAGAUGAGGGUGCGGAACAUUAGUUAGUUGGUGAGGUAAUGGCCCACCAAGACUAUGAUGUUUAGCCGGGUCGAGAGACUGAACGGCCACAUUGGGACUGAGAUACGGCCCAAACUCCUACGGGAGGCAGCAGUAGGGAAUAUUCCACAAUGAGCGAAAGCUUGAUGGAGCGACACAGCGUGCACGAUGAAGGUCUUCGGAUUGUAAAGUGCUGUUAUAAGGGAAGAACAUUUGCAAUAGGAAAUGAUUGCAGACUGACGGUACCAA